GAAUUAUAAGGGAUUGUAUAUCGAAAUGUACCUUUGAAAAACUCUACCCUUACAUAAAACUGUUGGACAUUCAUCAUCGACUGUUCAAACUGAAAUCACUUCAGAUGAAGAGUAUUGUUCAUUUGUGGAAAUAUGUUCUUGUAGAUGAUAUAAGAUUUGAAGUAAACUCUCUAUUAAUACCAGAUGAACUACUGUUAGAAGUAGAUUACAACCCGCUUAGAAUUCCAUCUUCAGUUUAUGCCUGUUUUCUUUUUUUUCUUUGUCAUUAUAAUUUAAAUGAUGCCAGACAAUGUCGGGAUAGCCUCCAAGUUCUACAACUUGUUACAGAAUACAAUUAUUUAAAUGCAGAUAUGGACGCAAAAGCCGCAGCCUAUAAUCUUCUUGGUGUUGCUUUACAGACAGUAGGUGAAACUGAAACCGCACGACAAGCGUACUUACUAUCUGCUAAAUUACAUAUAGAUCCAACCGACAAUCCUGCCGUAAAGAGACUUUUUUUUUGGACUAAUUUGACUCUGUUCAUAAAUUUUCAGUUAAGUUAUUAUUUCAAUAUUGCAUGUACACGUG
rnacentral:lncRNA from 1 species